AUGUUGACCUCAAAUCAGGUAGGAUUACCCGCUGAACUUAAGCAUAUCAAUAAGCGGAGGAA
rnacentral:rRNA from 2 species